UGAUGCAGCGACGCCGCGUGAGGGAUNNNGNCCUUCGGGUUGUAAACCUCUUUCAGUAGGGAAGAAGCGAAAGUGACGGUACCUGCAGAAGAAGCACCGGCUAACUACGUGCCAGCAGCCGCGGUAAUACGUAGGGUGCGAGCGUUAUCCGGAAUUAUUGGGCGUAAAGAGCUCGUAGGCGGUUUGUCGCGUCUGUCGUGAAAGUCCGGGGCUUAACCCCGGAUCUGCGGUGGGUACGGGCAGACUAGAGUGCAGUAGGGGAGACUGGAAUUCCUGGUGUAGCGGUGGAAUGCGCAGAUAUCAGGAGGAACACCGAUGGCGAAGGCAGGUCUCUGGGCUGUAACUGACGCNNNNNNGCGAAAGCAUGGGGAGCGAACAGGAUUAGAUACCCUGGUAGUCCAUGCCGUAAACGUUGGGCACAUAGGUGUGGGGACCAU
rnacentral:rRNA from 1 species